rnacentral:rRNA from 1 species
UAGUCCACGCCGUAAACGAUGGUCACUAGCUGUUUGGACUUCGGUCUGAGUGGCUAAGCGAAAGUGAUAAGUGACCCACCUGGGGAGUACGUUCGCAAGAAUGAAACUCAAAGGAAUUGACGGGGGCCCGCACAAGCGGUGGAGCAUGUGGUUUAAUUCGAUGAUACGCGAGGAACCUUACCAGGGCUUAAAUGUAAGUUGCAUUAGCUAGAGAUAGCUAUUUCUUCGGACCACUUACAAGGUGCUGCAUGGUUGUCGUCAGCUCGUGCCGUGAGGUGUCAGGUUAAGUCCUGCAACGAGCGCAACCCUUGUCUUUAGUUGCCAUCAUUCAGUUGGGCACUCUAAAGAGACUGCCGGUGACAAACCGGAGGAAGGUAAGGAUGACGUCAAGUCAGCAUGCCCCUUACGCCCUGGGCCACACACGUGCUACAAUGGUCGUGACAAAGGGUCGCUAAUCUGCAAAGACAUGCUAAUCUCAUAAACACGGCCUCAGUUCGGA